rnacentral:rRNA from 1 species
AGGGCACCACCAGGAGUGGAGCCUGCGGCUUAAUUUGACUCAACACGGGAAAACUCACCCGGCCAGGACACCGUAAGGAUUGACAGACUGAGAGCUCUUUCUUGAUUCGGUGGGUGGUGGUGCAUGGCCGUUCUUAGUUGGUGGAGUGAUUUGUCUGGUUAAUUCCGAUAACGAACGAGACUCUAGCCUGCUAAAUAGAUGGGCGAUCCCGUUGUGGGUCGACCCGAUUUGCUUCUUAGAGGGACAAGUGGCGUUCCUAGCCACGCGAAAUUGAGCAGUAACAGGUCUGUGAUGCCCUUAGAUGUCCGGGGCCGCACGCGCGCUACAAUGAGGGACGCAGUGUGCCCGCAAAGCCUGACCCGAAAGGGUUGGGUAAUCAUUUCAAUUUCCCUCGUAAUAGGGAUUGAGCAUUGUAACUAUUGCUCAUGAACGAGGAAUUCCUAGGUAAGCGCGAGUCAUAAGCUUGCGUUGACUACGUCCCUGCCCUUUGUACACACCGCCCGUCGCUACUACCGAUUG